rnacentral:rRNA from 1 species
GAUGAGCGCUGGCGGCGUGCCUAAUACAUGCAAGUCGAGCGAAUGGAUUAAGAGCUUGCUCUUAUGAAGUUAGCGGCGGACGGGUGAGUAACACGUGGGUAACCUGCCCAUAAGACUGGGAUAACUCCGGGAAACCGGGGCUAAUACCGGAUAACAUUUUGAACCGCAUGGUUCGAAAUUGAAAGGCGGCUUCGGCUGUCACUUAUGGAUGGACCCGCGUCGCAUUAGCUAGUUGGUGAGGUAACGGCUCACCAAGGCGACGAUGCGUAGCCGACCUGGGGGGGUGAUCGGCCACACUGGGACUGAGACACGGCCCAGACGCCUACGGGAUGCAGCAGUAGGGAAUCUUCCGCAAUGGACGAAAGUUUGACGGAACAACGCCGCGUGAGUGAUGAAGGCUUUCGGGUCGUAAAACUCUGUUGUUAGGGAAGAACAAGUGCUAGUUGAAUAAGCUGGCACCUUGACGGUACCUAACCAGAAAGCCACGGCUAACUACGUGCCAGCCGCCGCCGUAA